rnacentral:rRNA from 1 species
UACAGAGGUCCCGAGCGUUGUUCGGAUUCACUGGGCGUAAAGGGUGCGUAGGUGGCGAGGUAAGUCGGAUGUGAAAGCUCGGAGCUCAACUCCGAAAUGGCAUUGGAAACUACCUUGCUCGAGGGUUGGAGGGGGGACUGGAAUGCUUGGUGUAGCAGUGAAAUGCGUAGAUAUCAAGCGGAACACCAGUGGCGAAGGCGAGUCCCUGGACAACUCCUGACACUGAGGCACGAAAGCUAGGGGAGCAAACGGG